rnacentral:lncRNA from 1 species
ACCUGUUUUCACCUCUAGGCCCUGGUUGUUCAAGGUUUUGACGUCUGACCUCAACGAUGCCUGUUCAGAUCCUCCGCCGAUCAUUACUCCUAUGGCCUCACCGGCUCUGUUCCGGCAUGUUUAAGCCUUAAGAGCCUAGCUAUGGCUCACGUCUGUUCGAGACCAGACCUUUUCCAAGCCUCCUCAUUUCUAGGGUUUUUGUAAACCCUAAAGCUAUUUCGAGGUUCCUUCUUCUCUUAUUUGCUUAGGUUUGUGAUGAAUCUGUGUUGUAUUCAACGUUUUGAAGCUUUUCC